rnacentral:rRNA from 1 species
GAUGAACGCUGGCGGCGUGCCUAAUACAUGCAAGUCGAGCGAACAGACGAGGAGCUUGCUCCUCUGACGUUAGCGGCGGACGGGUGAGUAACACGUGGAUAACCUACCUAUAAGACUGGGAUAACUUCGGGAAACCGGAGCUAAUACCGGAUAAUAUAUUGAACCGCAUGGUUCAAUAGUGAAAGACGGUUUUGCUGUCACUUAUAGAUGGAUCCGCGCCGCAUUAGCUAGUUGGUAAGGUAACGGCUUACCAAGUCAACGAUGCGUAGCCGACCUGAGAGGGUGAUCGGCCACACUGGAACUGAGACACGGUCCAGAAUCCUACGGGAGGCAGCAGUAGGGAAUCUUGCGGAAUGGGCGAAAGCCUGACGGAGCAACGCCGCGUGAGUGAUGAAGGUCUUCGGAUCGUAAAACUCUGUUAUUAGGGAAGAACAAAUGUGUAAGUAACUAUGCACGUCUUGACGGUACCUAAUCAGAAAGCCACGGCUAACUACGUG